rnacentral:tRNA from 1 species
GCCCACCAAGCUCAGGUGGUAGAGCGCGCCCCUGAAAAGGGCGAGGCUCCCGGUUCGACGCCGGGGGUGGGCA